rnacentral:lncRNA from 1 species
UUUUUUUUAUAUGUUCCUAGAGAAAACUAAGUUGAAAGAUGAUAGUAGCAAAGUUGCGGACUUGGUCCGUGAUCUGAGGAUUAUCCUCAUUGCUACACAGAAGAAUUAUGUCCUUGAUGCACCGCUAGGUGACAGACCUAUUGCAGGAGCAGAUGCAGACGUUAUGAACGUUUGACAAAGCUCGGUAUGAUGACUACUUGAUAGUUUAGUGCACCAUACUUUACGGCUUAGAAUCGGGACUUCAAAAAUGUUUUGAACACCACAGAGCAUGUAAGAUGUUCCAAGAGUUGAAAUUGGUAUUUCAUACUCAUGCCCGUGUCGAGAGGUAUGAGACCUCUAACAGUACUUUGCCUACAAGAUGGAGGAGAAUAGCUCAACCAGUGAGCAUGUACUCAGAUUGUCUGGGUACUACAAUUGCAUGUACUCAGAUAGUAAUUGACAAAGUUCUCUAGUCACUAUCACCAAGUUACUAGAACUUCGUGAUGAACUAUAAUAUCCAAGGGAUAACGAAAACAAUUCCCGAGCUCUUCGCGAUGCUGAAAUCGACGAAGGUAGAAAUCAAGAAAGAGCAUCAAGUGUUGAUGGUUAACAAGACCACUAGUUUCAAGUACAGGGGCAAAGGGAAGAAGGGGAACAUCAAGAAGAACGGCAAGCAAGUUGUUGCUCAAGUGAAAAAGCCCAAGUCUAGACCUAAGCCUGAAACUGAGUGCUUCUACUGCAAAGGGACUGGUCACUGGAAGCGGAACUGCCCCAAGUAUUUGGUGGAUAAGAAGGAUGGCAAAGUGAACAAGCUAUAUUUAAUAUACAUGUUAUUGAUGUGUACUUUACUAGUGUUUAUAGCAACCCCUCGGUAUUUGAUACUGGUUCAGUUGCUAAGAGAAGUAACUCGAAACGGGAGUUGCAGAAUGAACAGAGACUAGUUAAGGGUGAAGUGACGAUGUGUGUUGGAAGUGGUUCCAAGAUUGAUAUGAUCACCAUCGCACACUCCCUAUACUUUUGGGAUUAGUGUUGAGCCUAAAUAAAUGUUAUUUGGUGUUUGCGUUAAGCAUGAAUAUGAUUUGAUCAUGUUUAUUGCAAUACGGUUAUUCAUUUAAAGUCAGAGAAUAAUUGUUGUUCUGUUUACAUGAAUAAAACCUUCAAUGGUCAUACACUUAAGGUGAAUGGUUUAUUGAAUCUUGAUCGUAGUGAUACACAUAUUCAUAAUAUUGAAGCCAAAAGAUGCAAAGUUAAUAAUGAUAGUGCAACUUAUUUGUGGCACUGCCGUUUAGGUCAUAUUGGUGUAAAGCGCAUGAAGAAAAUCCAUGCUGAUAGGCUUUUGGAAUCACAUGAUUAUGAAUCAGUGGAUGCUUGCGAACCAUGCCUCAUGGGCAAGAUGACUAAGACACCGUUCUCCAGAACAAUGGAGCGAGCUACUGACUUAUUGGAAAUAAUACAUACCGAUGUAUGCGGUCCGAUGAGUGUUAAGGCUCGCGGCGGGUAUCGUAAUUUUCUGACCUUCACAGAUGAUUUGAGCAGAUAUGGGUAUAUCUACUUGAUGAAACAUAAGUCUGAAACAUUUGAAAAGUUCAUAUAAUUUCAGAGUGAAGUGGAAAAUCAUCGUAACAAGAAAAUAAAGUUUCUACGAUCUGAUCGUGGAGGAGAAUAUUUGAGUUACGAGUUUGGCCUUCAAUUAAAACAAUGUGGAAUAGUUUCACAAACUCAUGCCACCUGGAACACCACAACAUAAUGGUGUGUCCGAACGUCAUAACCGUACUUUAUUGGAUAUAGUGCAAUCUAUGAUGUUUCUUACCGAUUUACCACUAUCGUUUUGGGGUUAUGCAUUAGAGACAACUGCAUUCACGUUAAAAGGGCACCAUCUAAAUCCGUUGAGACGACACCGUAUGAACUGUGGUUUAGCAAGAAACCUAAGCUGUCGUUUCUUAAAGUUUGGGGUUGCGAUGCUUCUGUGAAAAAGUUUCAUCCUGAUAAGCACAAACCCAAAUCGGAAAAAUGUGUCUUCAUAGGAUACCCAAAGGAGACAGUUGGGUACACCUUCUAUCACAUAUCCGAAGGCAAGACAUUCGUUGCUAAGAAUGGAUCCUUUCUAGAGAAGGAGUUUCUCUCGAAAGAAGUGAGUGGGAGGAAGGUAGAAUUUGAUGAGGUAACUGUACCUGCUCCCUUAUUGGAAAGUAGUUCAUCACAGAAAUCUGUUCAUGUGACUCCUACACCAAUUAGUGAGGAAGCUAAUGAUGAUGAUCAUGUAACUUCAGAUCAAGUUACUACCGAACCUCGUAGGUCAACCACAGUGAGAUCCGCACCAGAGUGGUAAGGUAAUCCUGUUCUGGAGGUCAUGUUACUUGACCAUGACAAACCUACGAACUAUGAAGAAGCGAUGAUGAGCCCAGAUUCCGCGAAAUGGCUUGAGGCCAUGAAAUCUGAGAUGGGAUCCAUGUAUGAGAACAAAGUGUGGACUUUGGUUGACUUGCCCGAUGAUCGGCAAGCCAUAGAAAAUAAAUGGAUCUUCAAGAGGAAGACGAACGCUAAUAGUAGUGUUACUAUCUACAAAGCUAGACUUGUCGAAAAAAAGGUUUUUGACAAAGUUCAAGGUGUUGACUACGAUGAGAUUUUCUCACUCGUAGCGAUGCUUAAGUCUGUUCGAAUCAUGUUAGCAAAUUGCCACAUUUUAUGAAAUCUGGCAAAUGGAUGUCAAAACUACAUUCCUUAAUGGAUUUCUUAAAGAAGAGUUGUAUAUGAUGCAACCAGAAGGUUUUGUCGAUCCUAAAGGUACUAACAAAAUGUGCAAGCUCCAGCGAUCCAUCUAUGGACGGGUGCAAGCAUCUCGGAGUUGGAAUAUACGCUUUGAUCAGUUGAUCAAAGCAUAUAGUUUUAUAUAGACUUGUGGUGAAGCCUGUAUUUACAAGAAAGUGAGUGGGAGCACUACAGCAUUUCUGAUAAGUAUAUGUGAAUGACAUAUUGUUCAUCAGAAAUAAUGUAGAAUUUUUCUGGAAAGCAUAAAGGAGUAUUUGAAAGGAUUUUUUUCAAAGAAAGUCCUCGGUGAAGCUGCUUACAUAUUAAGCAUCAAGAUCUAUAGAGAUAGAUCAAGACGCUUGAUAAGUUUUUUCAAUGAGUACAUACCUUGACAAGAUUUUGAAGUAGUUCAAAAUGGAACAGUCAAAGAAAGAGUUCUUGCCUGUGUUGCAAGGUGUGAAAUUGAGUAAUACUCAAAGCCCGACCAUGGCAGAAGAUAGAAAGAGAAUGAAAGUCAUUCCCUAUGCCUCAGCCAUAGGUUCUAUAAAGUAUGCCAUUUUGUGUACCAGAUCUAUUGUAUACCCUACACUGAGUUUGGCAAGGGAGUACAAUAGUGAUCUAGGAGUAGAUCACUGGACAGCGGUCAAAAUUAUCCUUAGUGGAAUAAGGAUAUGUUUCUCGAUUAUGGAGGUGACAAAAGGUUCGUCGUAAAGGGUUACGUCGAUGCAGGUUUUGACACUGAUCCAGAUGACUCUAAGUCUCAAUCUGGAUACAUAUUGAAAGUGGGAGCAAUUAGCUAGAGUAGCACCGUGCAGAGCAUUGUUGACAUAGAAAUUUGCAUAAUACAUACGGAUCUGAAUUUGGCAGACCCGUAGACUAAAUUUCUCUCACAAGCAAAACAUGAUCACACCUUAGUACCCUUUGGGUGUUAAUCACAUGGUGAUGUGAACUAGAUUACUGACUCUAGUAAAUCCUUUGAGUAUUGGUCACAUGACGAUGUGAAUUAAUCACAUGGUGAUGUGAACUAUUAGUGUUAAAUCACAUGGCGAUGUGAACUAGAUUAUUGACUCUAGUGCAAGUGGGAGACUGAAGGAAAUAUGCCCUAGAGGCAAUAAUAAAGUUAUUAUUUAUUUCCUUAUUUCAUGAUAAAUGUUUAUUAUUCAUGCUAGAAUUGUAUUAACCAGAAACUUGAUACAUGUGUGAAUACAUAGACAAAACAGAGUGUCACUAGUAUGCCUCUACUUGACUAGCUCAUUGAAUCAAAGAUGGUUAAGUUUCCUAGCCAUAGACAUGAGUUGUCAUUUGAUUAACGGGAUCACAUCAUUAGAGAAUGAUGUGAUUGACUUGACCCAUUCUGUUAGCUUAGCACUUGAUCGUUUAGUAUGUUGCUAUUGCUUUCUUCAUGACUUAUACAUGUUCCUAUGACUAUGAGAUCAUGCAACUCCCGAUUACCGGAGGAACACUUUGUGUGCUACCAAACAUCACAACGUAACUGGGUAAUUAUAAAGGUGCUCUACAGCUGUCUCCGAUGGUACCUGUUGAGUUGGCAUAGAUCGAGAUUAGGAUUUGUCACUCCGAUUGUCAGAGAGGUAUCUCUGGGCCCUCUCGGGUAAUGCACAUCACUAUAAGCCUUGCAAACAAUGUGGCUAAUGAGUUAGUUGCGGGAUGAUGCAUUACGGAACGAGUAAAGAGACUUGCUAGUAACGAGAUUAAGCUAGGUAUUGAGAUACCAAUGAUCGAAUCUCGGGCAAGUAACAUAUCGAUGACAAAGGGAACAACGUAUGUUGUUAUGCGGUUUGACCGAUAAAGAUCUUCGUAGAAUAUGUAGGAACCAAUAUGAGCAUCCAGGUUCCGCUAUUGGUUAUUGACCGGAGACGUGUCUCGGUCAUGUCUACAUAGUUCUCGAACCCGUAGGGUCCGCACGCUUAACGUACGGUGACGAUCGGUAAUAUGAAUUUAUGUGUUUUGAUGUACCGAAGGUAGUUCGGAGUCCCGGAUGAGAUCGGGGACAUGACGAGGAGUCUCGAAAUGGUCGAGACGUAAAGGUUCCGAGUGAUUCGGGUAUUUUUCGGAGUACCGGAGAGUUACGGGAAUUCGUUGGGGAGUAUAUGGGCCUUAUUGGGCUAUAGGGGAAAGAGAGAGGGGAGGCUGCGCCCCCCCCCCCCAUGCUUAGUCCGAAUUGGACUAGGGGGAGGGGCGGCGCCCCCUCCUUCCUUCUCUUCUCUUUUCCCUUUCCUUCUCUCCUACUCCUACUACUUGGAAGGGCUCCUAGUUCAACUAGGAAAGGGGGAAUCCUACUCCCGGUGGGAGUAAGACUCCCCUAGGGCACGCCAUAGAGAGGGCCGGCCCUCCCCCUCCUCCACUCCUUUAUAUACGGGGAGAGGGGCACCCCUUGGAGACACAAUAAUUGAUCAUUGAUCUCUUAGCCGUGUGCGGUGCCCCCCUCCACCAUAUUCCACCUCGAUAAUAUCGUAGCGGUGCUUAGGCGAAGCCCUGCGUCGGUAGCAUCAUCAACACCGUCAUCACGCCAUCGUGCUAGCGGAACUCUCCUGCAAAGCUCUGCUGGGUCAGAGUUCGUGGGACGUCAUCGAGCUGAACGUGUGCUGAACUCGGAGGUGCCGUGCGUUCAGUACUUGGAUCGGUCGGAUCGUGAAGACGUACGACUACAUCAACCGCGUUGUCAUAACGCUUCCGCUUUCGGUCUACGAGGGUACGUGGAUGACACUCUCCCCUCUCGUUGCUAUGCAUCACCAUGAUCUUGCGUGUGCGUAGGAAAUAUUUUGAAAUUACUACGUUUCCCAACAGUAACUACAUACUAGAACUAGAUUAUAAAUAGGAGAGGACGAGCUUCACCACUUCCUCACCGGCCCUUUGCCCUUCCGGCCGCCGGUGCAGCUGUAGGAGUCCGCGGCAGGAGAAGGGUCCACGUCGGAGCCGUCGGACCCGUCGUCAGAGGAGGAAUCGGAGAUGACGAUGUAGCCUUGCAAGUGUCGGGCGUUGCGGUCUUGCUUGCGCUUGAGCUUGGCCACCCUCGCCGCCUCCCGCUCGGAUUGCUGAAUGCCGAGCCGGAGCUGCUUGGCGUUGAUCCUCUGGAGCCGUCGGGCCUUCGUCUCCACCUGAGGAAGUGACUAACGGCACACCCACUCGAGGAGACAGUCCUCAUCGUCGGGCACCGGCAUCACGCGGCGGAGGCAAGUAGACUGCGUAGCCACGUCGGACCCGCCCUCCAUCUCCCUUGCCCGCUGCCUCUCGCGGCGGACGGCACGUGCCUUCGACUCUGGAGUCCGCAUCCGCGGCGUCGGCGGAGCAGGCACUAGAACCCACCGCUGCCCGCGCAGAGCAGCGGCUGGAGGUGGAGGAGGCCUUCGAGCGUGAGGAGCAGAUCGGGCAGGCCUCACAGCGGGGCGGGAAGGGCAGGCGUCGGCGCUGCGAUGACGGGCGACAGGUGGCUCCACACCUGACCUGGAGCUGCCGCCCGCAUCGACCCGCGAGCGCUCGAGCGCGAUACGAAGCACUAGCUGAUACGUCUCCAACGUAUCUAUAAUUUAUGAAGUAUUCAUGCUAUUAUAUUAUCUGUUUUGGAUGUUUAUGGGCUUUAUUUUACACUUUUAUAUUAUUUUUGGGACUAACCUAUUAACCCAGAGCCCAGUGCCAGUUCCUGUUUUUUCCCUUGUUUCAGUAUUUCGAAGAAAAGGAAUAUCAAACGGAGUCCAAACGGAAUGAAACCUUCGGGGGAGUUAUUUUUGGAAAGAAAGCAAUCCUGGAGACUUGGAGUGCACGUCAGGGGAUCAACGAGGAAGGCACGAGGCAGGGGGCGCGCCCUCCACCCUCGUGGGCCCCUCGUGGCUCCCCUGACGUAUUUCUUCCUCCUAUAUAUACCAAUAUACCCUAAAACCAUCGGGGAACAGAAUAGAUCGGGAGUUCCGCCGCCGCAAGCCUCUGUAGCCACCAAAACCCAAUCGGGGACCUGUUCCGGCACCCUGCCGGAGGGGGAAUCCCUCACCGGUGGCCAUCUUCAUCAUCCCGGCGCUCUCCAUGACGAGGAGGGAGUAGUUCACCCUCGGGGCUGAGGGUAUGUACCAGUAGCUAUGUGUGUGAUCUCUCUCUCUCUCGUGUUCUUGAUUUGGCACGAUCUUGAUGUAUCGCGAGCUUUGCUACUAUAGUUGGAUCUUAUGAUGUUUCUCCCCCUCUACUCUCUUGUAAUGGAUUGAGUUUUCCCUUUGAAGUUAUAUUAUCGGAUUGAGUCUUUAAUGAUUUGAGAACACUUGAUGUAUGUCUUGCGUGGGAUAACCAUGGUGACAAUGGGUUAUUCUAUUGAUUCACUUGAUGUAUGUUUUGGUGAUCAACUUGCGGGUCCCGCCCAUGAACCUAUGCAUAGGGGUUGGCACACGUUUUCGUCUUGACUCUCCGGUAUAAACUUUGGGGCACUCUUUGAAGUACUUUGUGUUGGUUGAAUAGAUGAAUCUGAGAUUGUGUGAUGCAUAUCGUAUAAUCAUACCCACGGAUACUUGAGGUGACAUUGGAGUAUCUAGGUGACAUUAGGGUUUUGGUUUAUUUGUAUCUUAAGGUGUUAUUUUAGUAUGAACUCUAGGGCUGUUUGUCACACUUAUAGGAAUAGCCCAAUGGAUUGAUUGGAAAGAAUAACUUUGAGGUGGUUGCGUACCCUACCAUAAUCUCUUCGUUUGUUCUCCGCUAUUAGUGGCUUUGGAGUGACUCUUUGUUGCAUGUUGAGGGAUAAUUAUGUGAUCCAAGUAUGUUAUUAUUGUUGAGAAAACUUGCACUAGUGAAAGUAUGAACCCUAGGCCUUGUUUCAACGCAUUGCAAUACCGUAUACGCUCACUUUUAUUAUUAGUUACCUUGCUGUUUUUAUAAAUUCAGAUUACAAAUACCUUUAUCUACCAUCCAGAUUGCACUUGUAUCACCAUCUCUUCGCCGAACUAGUGCACCUAUACAAUUUACCAUUGUAUUGGGUGUGUUGGGGACACAAGAGACUCUUUUUUAUUUGGUUGCAGGGUUGCUUGAGAGAGAUCAUCUUCAUCCUACGCCUCCCACGGAUUGAUAAACCUUAGGUCAUCCACUUGAGGGAAAUUUUCUACUGUCCUACAAACCUCUGCACUUGGAGGCCCAACAACGUCUACAAGAAGAAGGUUGCGUAGUAGACAUCACUAGCUCCUCCUCAUCUCUGGAGUUGUCGUCGGAGUGGCUGCCGGUGCUGUACAUGCUCGUCGGCGCUAGGGAUUGGACGGAUUGGGGAAAUGGGAGCGUCGGGGAGCGGAGCGGAGUGAUCUGGGGUUUCUUCCGAACGGGGGAUUUUGUGGGGUCGGGGUGGGCUAGGCUGACGUGGCGGACGCGCCCGGGCGUGCUCGGGCGGCCUCAUAUCUGCUCUACAUUUGGGGCGGAUAUGACGGGUGUCGGUCAACCCGGGCGUUUGAGGCCCGUUUAAGAGCUCUGGUUGGGUCGGUUUUCUGUGACUAGUCGGCUUGCCCGGGCUUUUGAGACGGAUAUAGGGCACCCGGCUGUAGAUGCUCUUAGCUCGUAUGUUUCCCAGCAGUAGCUACCAACAUUGUUAAUGGUUGCUUAAAUGUAGAAUUUAUUUUGAUAGAGAAGCCCCCAUAAAUGCAGAAUUUAAACUAUAUGCAUUAUGUUGUACUCACUCUGUAAAGAAAUAUAAGAGCAUUUAGAUCACUAAAGUAGUGAUGUAAACGCUCUUAUAUUAGUAGUGAUGUAAAUGCUCUUAUAUUUCUUUACGGAGGGAGUAUUUGCCAAUUUUGCUAGCUAAACUUAGACUUAGCCAGACAAUACAAUGAUGAAUGCCUUAGCAUCCACACUACAAGCUAAUCUGGUCCUUUUUUUGGUAAUCAACAAAAAAAAAUAUCUUUUGUACUAUAAUGAGAACUUGACAGUAGCUUAUGUGCAGCUAUGCUUUACAAUAUGAAGGGGUGUGUAUUCUUAAGUUUCACAGGUUUGGUUGAUACCAUUCAUUGCUUUUUGAUUUAUGCGGUUUUUCUUCUCGAAAUGUACAUUGAAGCACUUCAUAGUAGAGGGGUGCAGUAUUUGAUUUUCAAAGCUCUUCAUACAAAUGCAAGCAUUGCAACAAUUAAUGAUUAAAGAACUCCACUGCCUAUUACUAUUAGACAUCCAUCUUGAGUGGAAAGGAAUCAAUUCGGUUUACUGGAAAACAUGAAAGCAACAAGAAGUUAAAAAAAUUACUUGAACCGGGUUUGCUAAAGCAAGAUUUGAGAAAGGAAUUGCCAAAUGAAUAAUUAGAGAGUGUAACACCAACAAGGAAAUUCAAGUGUUCACUGGAAUUCAUAUGAAGAGACAACCAUUAAUUUAGGCUAUUGAUUUCAAGUGUUUAGCCUCGUAGAUUUUGGUAGCCAUAAAAUUUGCUCAUGGAAAAAAAAUUCAGUAAUAGUUAUAGCUACUUCCAAAAACAUAGUCUUACAGACUGCAAGCAAACAAACAAGAAAAUCAUAUUUGCCACCUAAAAGGGUAAAAGCGUAAUCCACCUAAAAAUAAAAGCAUGGUCAAAUACACUAUGGUACAGUAGAUCAUAAGCAAUAAUAGAAUAACCUUCGUGAUCAACUUGUUGUAGGUAGUCUUUGCCUUAAUCAUUGGUGUCAUUGUCAGAUUUUUUCCAACAAUUAAUUCAAUAUACACUGUGUCACAGUUAACAACUUUGCAAUCCAGGAGUACUAAGGGAAAAUGAUUACCAUUAUAAGAAUAGCUCACUUUUUGUCAACAUGGUAUAAAAAACAUGUCGUAAAAUGAUAAAAAAACAAGCACCUUAUAGUUUCCUUGGAAACAAUAUAUCAUGAGUAGAACUUAUAGGUUACAAUCAUCUAUCCGGCAAGAAAAAAAGAGAGGUUACAAUCAGUUCAUAAACCAUGUGCACAAGCAAGUUAUGCUAUAGAACUUGCAAAAGGUAGGACUAUGUGUAUGUAAACCCAGGAAAAUAUUGGAAGUAAUAAUGUAAUACUCCCUCUGUCCGAAAAAGUUUGUCCCUCAAAUGAAUGUAUCUAGCAAGGGACAAUCUUGGGACAAGCUUUUUCGCACGGAGGGAGUAUAUGAUUAACAAAAUUAUGAGGCACUAUAUGCAAGCGAUUCUUUAAUUUGGUCUUACAAUAUAUAUAUCAUCCAAUAUACUUUGACUAAAAACAAGCCAGCACAAUUCGUCAACUUAAAAUGUCAUAAUAUGUAAUUUCAUGUUUCAAACAAACAUGUAAAGAUAAUCGUACCCAUUAGCAAUGCUCCAACAACUGGACCAAAUGAAAAAAAAAACACAUGUUUACAAGGUUCAUCAUCCUUUGAAGGUAUUGCAAUUGCAGCAUGUUCUACUUGCUCCUGAUAUAUGAUUGCUCUGUAUGCAUUUAGGAAAAAAAUAGUGCUCAAGCGCCCAUCAAUUACCUGUUCUUGGCUUCCUGGCGCCAGACGACAAACUAUCAGAACGUGAAAACACCACACCGAACGUGGGCCAAGUCCUCGUUGUCCCCCUCCCUGUCCGACAAUGAUGCAACUAACCUAGAACCACAUAAUGGAACUAACCAAAACAAUGUCAGCCAACACCCAGCCUUCUCUUCAAGUCUAUACAGAUUCCUAAUUGGAUGCAUAGCCUGAAAUUUGUUGUGAUAUAUUUGUGAGCUAUGGCCGAAAGCAUAUCUAGCUGGCUUCUUCGUGCACGCUAGUCUCCCAAAAAUCAAUCAACAUGCCUGCUUCCAAGCACUUGUAUGCGCAUAUUGCUAUGGCCGAAAGCACUUCGGGCGUUACUACAGGUGGAUAGAAAAAUAAACUCUAAAAUUAGUGAAGAGGCUUGAGGUUAAUAUUUCACUUAUUGUGAUUAACUCUAAAAAUCAGCUAGAUUGAUAUGCACAGCAAACUCAAAUUACUCAAAUCAAUCAGUAAGUGUAAAAGGAUGUGGACAGCUCGAUUCAUCUUAUUUAUAUGUUCUGUUUGGAUGUGGCCAAAUUGAUCCAUCAUAAAACGCACACAUAACAAAUUGAAACAAUCAUUAGCCAUCAAGAAUCAAUGAAACACUUUUGAAACAGAAGAAUAGUGGUAGACUAAUAGGAACACACACAGUCAAUUUUUGAAACAAUUCCUAGAUUUCAGAAGCAAAAGUUGUCAUGUGGUCAGCUGAAACUAUCUCUGCCUUCUUGAGAUCUUGGAGCAUUGCAUUGGAGAGCAGCGUUUUGGCUCCCGGGCUCAGAUGAGCCCGGGAGUGAACAGUGCCAUGCUUUAAAAUAGUAAACAAAUUCAGAAAAUUCUAAAAAAAAUUGUGAGUAAAUAUACUUGAGUGCGUGAUGUCCGUGCCAAAUUUGGAGAAGUUUGAACAUUUGAGGAGCUCGUGGCAAAAAAAAAGAAAUUCGGGGCUGACAGAAACAUUUGAAAAACAGCACUAUUCAUGCCUGGAUUUGUCUUUUUUGCUGCGCGCUACUCGUAUGUCCAAACAUCACCAAAUUUUGCACGAACAUCACGCACAUGCACAUCUUGCUUGCACACAAAAUUCGGAAUGUUUUGACACUUUUUUCUAUUAUGAAUUAUGGUACUGUUCAUCGGGCUCAUCAGAGCCCGGGCACCGAAGGGGAUUUCCGCAUUGUAUACAUUGUUUAUCAGUUAAGUUCGUGAAUGAUCGCGCUAGAAGAAAGCAUCCCUAUUUAGGCAGAUCAGCCUGGCUCAGUCGCUGACCCUGUGGUCCCACAUGGCAGCCCAACCAACCAAUCGCCCAGCCGGCCGGCCAGGAGGAUAAACACCGUCAGUCUCCGUUCGUUUCGCUGCGGACUUCACACAUCCACAAGUCCGGCACAGGCGCGCGAUCCGAUCGGAUCCUCUGCGCCGCUUACAUCACCGGCUCUGGUGCGGCUCACGGCACGAGUGAACACGUGUCCUCUCUGCGAAGCCAUGUGUCUCUGCAGCCCGUCGGCCGUCGUCUUUCCUGGAGCGAACGUCUCACCCGAUCCUCCCGCCAACCUUCUCCCGCCUCGCUGGGUGCACCGGCUCUUCGGUCCACGGGUCACUGGAACGCGGGCCCGUGCUGCCUACUGUAAAAAUGUUUCACCGGCUUUCCCUCCCAAACGUCUCAAAGCAGCAUCAGCAGUUCAGCACCAGCUGCAGUAUCCAGAGGAAGAACAGCAGCUGCGGCUCCGGAGCGGCGACCGUUUCUCCGGCGAAGAGCUCGAGCUCGAGGUCCUGUCCCUCACUCCCGGCGGUAGGUACGUGCGCUUCUGGGCUAGGAUUUUGGGGAGGAUUAUGCUCUGGGAGCUGCGAAUUCCGCUUGCUCGAUUUCUUGGCCGCCUGCCCUGCGAGCUCACUGUAGGCCGAAUAGGAGGAAUCCAUGGGGUGCAGAGAAGAAGAGCGAGCUAGCUAGACGAGAUACCCGUGCUCCUAAGAUUUCUGGUUCUUGCUUUGCUUGCUUGCUUGAUUCUGAUUACCAGUUUGCUAGGUCAGCGCUUGAGGAUUUUGGGGGUCUGGCUUUCCCCCAUUCUCUCUGCCUGGCCUGCCUCCAAUUUCCUCGGUUCUCCGCCCGGGGAACGGCCACUUCCUGUGAUUCUGGUAGCCCUUGGCCGCGCCUGUGAAUCCGGGGCUUUGCUCCUUUACAUUUCUGCAGCCAGAAUUCUACUACUCCCUCUGUCCCAUAAUAUAAGAGCGUUUUUGACACGGAGUAGCUGUGUAUGUAGUACUGUGUAGCGAGAACAGAGCCUGGCAGCAGAGCACCGAAGUUGAGGGACAGUCAGGAGAGCAAAUGAUGCUCUGUAAAAAAAAAUGUUACUUAUGGCCACACUGAGCAAAUCCACAUGUUUUUAUCACAGGGGUAAAGCAGAAAAAUGGACGCAGCAGGUACCUCCAAGAGAGGUCGUCGUCCUCCUAACAAGGUGGGUUCUAGGAUUCUGCUUCUGGUUCUUUUUAAUGGCUAAUACUGAGUUGGACACGAUUAGUAUCUUACUGAUAGGUGUUUUCUUGUUGUUAAAUUUAUUAAAUAGCCACAGAAGCUCAAGUUCAAGCCGAAAGUGCCGUUGCGCAAGCCAAAGAAACCACCUGCACAAAAGUACACUUCUCUUCUCCUUGAUUUGAGCUGCUACUGCUAGUACAAUAUCUCUCAAAUUUUGUUCACCUGGCAUGUUACAGUUUACUACAUUACCAAGCACAUUAUCUGCUCUUUCAGGCCGCAACUGGAAGAGACAAAACCAAUUGAUGAAGAGUUAAUGAAGACGCUGAGGGUGAGUGAUUAGUCAUAUAUUAUGUAUUGGGAUUGGGGUCUGAUAGUACUAUAUAGUGGUUGUUUACUCAGGACACAAUUGUUCCUUUCUGUCUGGGGCUGACUGUCUGUUUUGUUUUUUCUUUUUAUCAGACAGGACGAGGAGAUGCAAAAACUUUGCGAGUUAUAAAAGGUUGGUCAACCAGAUCAGCGAAGUACACAUAAAAUGAGCUUUUAAUCAGCAAUCUUUCUUAAACAUGGCAAAGCCUUGCUGUAACACUAUUUGUAUUCGCUUUGCAGAUGAGCAAUCGGCACAGAAUUCCGACUCGAAGACGCUUUCUUCUGCAGCCGGAGUUAGCUUCCAAGCGGCACAGUCGGGAAAGCAGAAGCAACCAAAAAAUUCUCAGGUUUCAACCUUACUCCGUUAGAAAAUACUAGUAUACAGUUCCCUUGUCAUGAGAGGCACAUGACUUAUGUUUGUUCUUUGGUCUGUACUUGCCUUGGCAAAAGAAGGCACUUCAAAUCCCUAGGGCCUUCCCUGCCAAUCCAGGUGAAUCUGAGACUUCGGUUCAUUCGUUCCAAACGUUUGACCAAAACAUUCCACUAGGAAUAAUCAUGGGAAUGUUCAUUUGUUGACAGAAAGGUUCUACGGUGAUGAAGAUGACGAGGACGAGGACGAGGACGAAGAUGAUGAUAAUGUUGUUCGAGAAGAUGACAAUGAUGUUGAGUUACCAGAGUCUCUCCCAAGCUCAAUCGAAUGUGAAUCUUCCAUCCAUCCAGCGAAAGAGCUCAAUCUGCUCGUAGGCUUCUCUGAACCCUACACCAAUUACCUUGAUACUGUCAGGCACUUAUAUAACUCGUUCACAAUUUGGAAUGACAGGAACACGACGACAAGACAAGGAUGUUCUUGUUCCAGUUGCCGAAAUCUCUUCCUCUGCUCAGAACACCAUCCACUGUAGUUCAUAGGAACGGAAGGGCCAUUGUCAAGGAGGUGAAAGAAGGGUACAACCUGAAUGAUCUGCCAGGGGGGUACAUGGGCAAGAUGCUGGUGUACAAGAGCGGCAAGGUCAAGAUGAAGCUGGGAGAUGCCGUGUUCGAUGUUAGUUCAUGCCUUCGGCGAUAUGUUCUCUUGAAGAUCUAGCACGAUAUCGAUAUGUGUGGUGUUCACUGUUUAGGUUCUUCCAUUGCAGGUGAGCCCAGGCACGGAAUGCGGGAUGCAGCAGCACGCAGUAGCGGUGAACACUAGAAGGAAACAUUGCUGCCAGCUUGGGGAGAUCGAAAGACAGCAUGUCGUGGUGACCCCGGAUGUCAACUCCCUGCUGAAUGACAAUAGGGACUAGUUGCAACCCGCGAACCGAUCAAUUCUAAUAGCUUGGCAAAUAUGGUGUGCAUAUAUGCUAGAAUAACGUAUGCGUUUUAACUGCAUGAUUAUAAAUGUAAAUUUGUAGCUGUAGCCUGUAGCUGUUGGUAGCACUCGUGUCGCAGCAGUAGUCUAGAAAUGCUGCUUGCAGCUGAUGAGUGUUGUAUCUUGAGUACCCUUGUAUCUUACUAGCAGGCAGAAGGCGCGGCAGUAUGCCGCGUCCGUGUAUAAUCACGUUGUUGUUUGAGUUAUAUCGACGUUUUUCUUAACACCAAUGAAUUCUACUAAUGUUAGAGGAAAACGAUAGCUCCAAUAAUUUCUUUGUUCUCAACGCCUCCUAUUUAGAGGAAUUAGCUGCCUCAACGACCUUUGAUGUUGUCGCAUGGUCAUCACAUUUUGUCUUUGAUCUUGUUUAUUUAUUGGAUACAGUUACAUAGCAAAAACGAAAUAGUUACCAUAUGGUGGUACAAACAAUACUGGUAGUUUUUUUUUAGGGAAAAAUAAUACUGGUAGUUGGCGAAGCUAGCGUUGGUAAAAACAGCACUGGUAUGGCCGUGCUGGUUAGGACGGUAGGCUCCUGUCUUGUUUUAGAUCAUUUGGGUUCGUUGUCGUGAAUAGCAAGCACAUGGACGCGGAUGAAUCCAUUGCUAAAAUUGUUUUUCCAUGGCAGCGAAAUAAAAAUUGUUCAUAGCAACAUACCAGAACAAUUGAGGAGCCAUGACAAAACUUUUUCUAGUCGUAGUACUGAGCAUCUCCAGAAUUUGUUCUUGACAUUCAUGGCCUUUCUUCUCUGAACCCUUUCUUGUAUUCAUCUUUAGAAUGAUACUAAUAGGCCUGCUUGGCUUAUAGUCCAAUGCAUAAAGAAAAAUAUGUCGUUGCGCAUUCACAUAUGGUAUAUUUUUGUAGUAGCUGUUGAUUUGUCUUUUUUUAACUGAAGAUACUCAAAACAGAGCAAGCACGGAAGCAGAAGAAAACUAAUGAUAAAGGAAAAACUGCUACAUGGAGGCAUCGGAUUUGUUACAUAAAGUAAUUCUUUGUGAGCAAGAUAGGAAAAGAAAUGACCGUGCAUUGGCACUACAUCUGGUAUUUUAUAAGAUGAUCAUUUACAUGGUACCAAAAUAUGCGAGUUUGAAUAGAGUACAUAUGCGUCAGGUAGAAGUCUGUCGGUUGAGCAGAAACAAAGGAAACUAAAUAAGGUCAAACCAUCGAAGUCCUCCAAGUCUAAUGAUCAGCGAUCAUGAUCCAUUGCCUAAACCUAGUGUCCGAUUCAUAUUCUAUAGGUACCUGACGAUAGAACAGUGGGUGUCAGUACUAAUUCCUAUAGGCAUUUUGAAGCAAGAAUAUUCAGAGCGGACUAAGAUAGAGGCCGGUUGCAGGGGAGGCCAGAUCGGAGAGAGCAUUGCGCCUCUGCCACUAGAUCAAUGCCGAGCGGAGGGAGCGCCCAUAAAAUUGCAAAGAAAGUUAUUAUAGUAUGGAAAGAAGGGAAUUUCAACCAGAUAAGUCAGACAGCCUUAACAAAAUUUGCAACAAGUCUAGAAUCUCAAGUCACCAUAAACAUGGUUCUAAAAGCACAGCGCAGGGCAAUCCAAUGCAGAUAACACAAAAAAAUCAAGUCAAGAUACUAAAAUGGACAGUGUCCUUUGUAUACUGUUAAUUUGUGACAUAACAACUUUGUCGCCUA